rnacentral:rRNA from 1 species
ACGAACGCUGGCGGCGCGCCUAACACGUGCAAGUCGAACGAGCGAGAGGGAGCUUGCUUUCUCGAGCGAGUGGCGAACGGGUGAGUAACGCGUGAGGAACCUGCCUCAAAGAGGGGGACAACAGUUGGAAACGACUGCUAAUACCGCAUAAGCCCACGACCCGGCAUCGGGUUGAGGGAAAAGGAGCGAUCCGCUUUGAGAUGGCCUCGCGUCCGAUUAGCUAGUUGGUGAGGUAACGGCCCACCAAGGCGACGAUCGGUAGCCGGACUGAGAGGUUGAACGGCCACAUUGGGACUGAGACACGGCCCAGACUCCUACGGGAGGCAGCAGUGGGGAAUAUUGCACAAUGGGGGAAACCCUGAUGCAGCGACGCCGCGUGGAGGAAGAAGGUCUUCGGAUUGUAAACUCCUGUUGUUGAGGAAGAUAAUGACGGUACUCAACAAGGAAGUGACGGCUAACUACGUGCCAGCCGCCGCGGUAAUAC